UACAAUUUCCCAAUAGUAUGCAAAGCUGAACUAUCAGGGGGCAAAUGAAAUGUGAACAGGUUAAGGCCAACUAAAACAUGUCAUUUCAUUUCCACUUUUAAGACUUUGCAUGCUGUCGACAUGGUUUUGGCUUGUGCACAUAGUUGCACGAAAGCUGCACCACCUCUGGCAACAGG
rnacentral:lncRNA from 1 species